rnacentral:rRNA from 1 species
UACGUAGGGCGCAAGCGUUGUCCGGAAUUAUUGGGCGUAAAGAGCUCGUAGGCGGCUUGUCACGUCGGAUGUGAAAGCCCGGGGCUUAACCCCGGUUCUGCUUCCGGUACGGGCAUGCUGGAGUGUGGCAGGGGAGACUGGAAUUCCUGGUGUAGCGGUGGAAUGCGCAGAUAUCAGGAGGAACACCGGUGGCGAAGGCGGGUCUCUGGGCCAUUACUGACGCUGAGGAGCGAAAGCGUGGGGAGCGAACAGG